AUACCAAACAGCAUUUCUGUUUAUUAGGAACGUGGAGGAAGAAUUGCUAGACUUUGUGAAACUUAUUCCGAUAAACGAUAAAUAAUAUGCAUAAUAUGCGAUCAACAAUGUGCAACAUUUAAAAAAUUGACAAAAAAGAAAAGAAAUAAAAUAACAAA
rnacentral:lncRNA from 13 species